UCCAGAGUUUCGGAAUAUCCGAUGGGCGUGGUUUUCAGCUAAAAUCUUUCGGAGCGGCCAUAACAGCUCAGAAGAGUUCUUGUGUCGUGUGCGUGGAGUUCUUGUCUGAAGUCGAGGAGAAAAAAGAAAAUCCACCAAAAAAAAAAUGGAUGUCCAGACAGGGCUGAUUUGCGUAAGUUUGGUAGUCGUAUCGGCUGCUGUUAUUCUUUUUGUGUUAAUGUUUGGCAUGAAAGAAAAAACCUACGACGAAGCAAUAGCUGAACAACGCAAGCUACCUGAUGACUUGCUAAUAGGUAAAAGAGAAAAAGGUAAAGAGAAGAAGCAUAAAAAUAAAGCUGGGGGGAAAAAGGUAAAAGAGAAGAAGGAAGAAAAGGAAGACAGGGAAGAUGAAAAAACCGAGCACGUUCAAUUCGAGGAAAAUCCUCAAAUACUCAUUGACGAAGCACCCAUUCAGGAGGAAAAAAAUAUCAAGGGGAACAAGAAGAAGGGAAAAAUUGACAAAGUGAAACCGAUUCUUCUCAACAAAGAUGAGCCGGUGGUUUUGGUACCAGAACCCAGUCUUUCACAACCCCAGUCAGAAGACAUUAAUCAUUUUGAUUUGACUCAACCCAAAGAUGAUCUUGAACUUAUUCGUAGUCACAGCAAGGACAAUUUACAUCAAAUGACACAGUCCGAACCAAUUGUCAACAAAUCUCUCGUAGACACUCCUACGAAAACUAAGAAGAACGCAAAAGAACAACCUAAGAAAGGUGGGGAUGCAAAGGAGGAAAAAAAAGAUGUUGGAAACGCUCCACAGCAACAAGCACUCAAAGAAACUCCCAAGGAAAUUAAAGAGCAACAAAAAGAAACUCCUGUUAAAACAGCCAAAGAAAUUGUAAAAGAAAUCUCAGUUCCUGUCCAGUCAUCGGUUAAAGAAUCUAAGAAUAAGAAGAAGAGGAAUGACAUUUUAGCACAAAUUGGGGGCGACAAGGAUGGCGUCAACAUAUCUUUGCUUAUGCCUCUUAUUCAGAAGGCGGAACUUAGCCGGUCUGAAAUUCAAAUUCUUACUGAUCAGUUGUUGAACAAACAAUUAGAUAAUCCUUUAGAGCAUUCUGAGUGGACCGAAGGUCGCACAGAUCCUGUGAUUAAACUUAAAAAACAGUUGGCAGAGAAGGAAAAAGCAUUGGCUGAUGAACAAGAGGCAAGUGUUGCUGUUCAGAAUAAGCUAAAAGAAUUGCGCUCGGAAUUGAAUGCUGAAAAGUCUAGGCUCUCUGCGAACGUGAGGCAGCUCGAAGAAACUUUGAGUGCCAAAGCUACCGAGGCUCAGACUCUGCAUACUCGUGUGCAACACAUAUUGGAGAGUCAUGCUGCAGAGAAACAAGGAUUUGCCAGACAAAUAGAACAAUUGCAAAGCCAGGUUAACGAAAAGAUGACUAUUAUUCAUCAAAUGCAAGAGGAUCAGGGACAAACUCAAGGACAUCUUCAGCAAGAACUUGUCACACAGAGAAAGCAACUGGAGGUACAAUAUUCGCAGAUGAGGGAAAACGAGAACGCCUUGAAAGCGCAACUUGCCCAAAAACAUGUGGAAAUUCAAGAACUGCAGAAUAUUAAUAUGACCGUUAACCAAGAGAUCCAGAUGCUGCGAUCUACAUGUGAAAAUAGCGCUGCUGAGGUUGAGCGGCACAGGCAACAGCUAGCGAUGACGCAAGAGCAGUUAAUGCAUUCCCAGGGACAGCUGCAGCACUAUAAGGAAGCAGGAGAAAGACUUCAGGAGAUGGUUAGACAGCUCGAGGAAUCUCAUCGUACAAUUGAUGAUUUAGAACAUAGACUGCAGAAUACGCUUCGCCACGAACAAGACCUUCAAAAACAAUUGAACUCCGUUAAAUCAGAGUUGAACGCUGUGAAAAGCGAAGCUAACGAGGCCAACAAUCUUAAAGCUGAACUUAACAAGGUACAAGCCGAGUUGAACAAAUUAAAGUCUGACCUUUCAGUCUCUCAAAACGAAGCAAAGACUGAGGCAGUCGAAAUUACUUCACUCAGGACUGAGUUGAGCACGACGCAAAACGAACUGAAACAAUCGCAGUCAAACUUAAUUGUCGCCCAGACUGAACUAAAGAACUCGCAAUCCAACUGUAACAAACUUCAAAAAGAUUUCGAUAUCAUUCAAGCAGAUCUUAGGAAAUCAGCGGGUGAACUGGUUAAGGCUCAAAGUGAAAGUAAAAAUGCAAAAACUGAACUCUCUAAGGCACAGAGCGACUUGAAUAAGGUUCAAACAGAAUUAGCCAAGACCCAGGAGGAACUUAGAAACGCCCACAAAACUGUGUCUGAACUGAAAAUGUUGUCUGUUGAGGUUGAAAGGCUACAGCAGGGUGCGAGAAAUUCUUCUGAAUCACAAAUUGAGGUUGCAAGAUUGCAAGAAGAAAAUAACAGACUCUCGUCACAGUCUGGGACUCUUGCUGAGCUGCAAAAGGAGAUCAGAAAACUUCGCGAGGAAAAUGAGUUCUUAGCCUCUCAGUUAGUAGCUAAUAAGGAACGUCCAGAUGCCGAAGGCCGUGAAAAUGGCGUUGAAACAAAGGCUGUUAAGAACAUUCAACAUAUUGAACACAACAAUUUACUAGAACAGAAGGAAACUCUGCUGGAGAAGCUGAGAGUGGAAGUAAAUCAGAAAGACACAGAGCUGAGUAAGCUUACUGUCCAGUUGGAGACACUGAAAAGCGAUAUGAACAACGAACGUUGUCAAAGAACAAAUCUUCAGGACGAACUUGAGGUCCAGAAACAGAAGAACAAUGAAUUACGAACUAAGAACUGGAAAGUGAUGGAAGCUCUUUCAGCAGCAGAGUCUCGCACAAGUUCUAAUUCCAGAAGAGCAAUUGAUGAGUUAUCGCAAAAAGUUGGAAGAGAUGAACAGAAAUCCACUGACAUGUUACUGCAGAGAAUAUUCCCCGAUGUUAGUAUUGCUGAAUCUUCUCAUGAGAAGUGGUUGACUGCCAUUGAAGGCAAAGUUUCUUCACUUGUCAAGGACUCCAAACGUAAACAAGAAGACAUGGAAAAGGAGAAUCAGAGCCUACGGGGGAUGGUGUCGCAUUAUGAAGAAAUAUUUCACGAUACAGAAGGAACACUUAAUGAACUUCAAAAUCACCUAGAAUCGGAAGAAGCGAGGUGGCAGGCACAGAUAAAACAAAAAGAAGAAAUUUUAACUAGUCUUAAAACUGAACUUGACAGUCUUCGAAGCAAAUCUGGCCUCACAGAACAGCUCGAUAAAAAAAUAUCUGAAUUGGAAACGAGAUUAGCUGAAGCAGAAACCUUCAGACACCAAGCCCAAACCCAAUUAUCAUCUUUUAAAAUUCAAUCCGAAUCAUCUCCAGUGAAAGGAGAGAAAAAUCUUAGUCUCAACGCAGUAGAAAAACUUGGAGAGGAAAAAUCUCGAUUACUGCAAUCGUUGCAACAAGAAAUUAGCAACAAGGCUGCUGUUGAUGCAGAGGUAGCAAGGCUUCGCUCCCUACUAGAAAAAUCCGAGUCUGGUCUGGCAGAGGAGAAAAAUCUUGUCUUACAAUUGCAGAACGAAGUUGGCCGACUAAAGGUUAGCAACUUUUGAAUGAAGUAUCCCCCGGUUUCAGGAAUUUAGAUCAAUCCACCGUAAACGGGCCACCAAUAUCAGAUUCGUCCAAGUCUGAGGGUGGUUCAGGAAAAAAGUAACAACCUCAAAGAAUAAAUUACGUUGAAGAAAAAACAGCAUCAGGGGUAAAAAGGCGGCGAUAAUAAAGAUUUGAUAAAUAGAACGAACACUGUGCGCACAUGUGCCAUUGAUGCGAGCAGUCGAAAUUUUGCUAUAAAGAAGACUAAUAUAAUGAUAAUGACGAUUAAAAAUAUUGCUGAUAAUCUUUAUUUUAAGAAAUAUCAUAUUUUAAUAUGUAAAAGAAGUAUGCAACAAAUUAACAAGUAGAUAGAUAACACAGAUUAUUGAAAAACGGUGUGUGUGACUAUUAUACAUAUAUAACUAGUUGUAGAAAUAUAAUUUCAAUAAUGCCUCUCACAUCUUGUGUUGACAAACAGAUCUUGUGUUUUCGACUUUCAAAUAUUAUUUUAAGAUACUUAAUUUCAUGUAGAAAUACAUGCUUCUUAAAAAAAAAAAGAACGAAAAAAAAAGUAGACAGCUCCGCACUACUCACAAAUAGUUUUAUUACACUGUUGCAAAGCUAUAAUCACACAAACAUCAAAAUGCAAUGGUCAGUGCUCACAUAUGGGCACAUUUAUGCCAAGUUACUUCAAAUGAUGUGCAUGAGUUGUAUCUCAGAAUAAUAUUCGAAUUUCAACUAAUUGUUACGAACUUGGCUUGAGUUGAUCCAUAUCUGAAAUCAAUAGGAAUGUAAAAGAUAAAAAUCACUCACAUGGGGCACUGGCAUCUGUUAGAUAUUUAUUGUGGGUGUUCUCAAAUAUCUUGACUAAUUUUAGAGAUUUGAUUAUUUGUACAUUAUUAAGUUUCAGUUUUAAGAUGAAUUUGUACAAACGAAAUUGCAUAAAUUUACUAUCACUAGUUAUCAAAUCAAGGCAAAUAGUGAGAUUGAGAAUUUUUCUGGCUGUGAAAAAAGAAAGAGAAAAGUAAUACUGUCGAAUCACUAAAAAUCAUGAGUGCAGAAUAAACUUGAAUUUAGCAAUAACUUUUGGUUAUAUUUAUUAUAAUCAUCUGUGUAUUACUGAACUGAAUAUCUUGUGGCUGUCAUGCUUCAUGUGGGUAACGAUUUAUCUAUAAUUGUACAUUAAUUAGAGUUGCUGAGCUCGUAACUUUUGAUGAUUAUUGUGUAAUAAAAACGCUAUAAAGAUAGACGACGACGAUGAUGUUGUUAAUGAUGAUGAUGGUGAUGAUGUUGACGACAGUGACAACGACGGUUGUAUGCAACCAUCAAAUGUUUCUAGGUAAUCAUAUUGUGCAAUAAGAAAGGAUACAAAGAAUUUGUAAGAGUAUGUAAAGAAAGCAACAAAAAAAUAUUUAAAAAAAGAAAAACGUCUAGUACCUACUACAAUUUAUAUAACGAAGGAAGGCCAGUCUAGCAUUGGGUAAAAACCAUAAAUACUAUAAUCGCAAGAAUUUCAGCUACCGCUUGUAGAAAUUCUUUGACAUUAUUUCAAUCGAGUUAUUUAUUAAUUUUUUUUUUUUUCAUUAGAAUUAUUUUGAAAAUUCAUUUGGGGAAAUAUCAAUUUAAUCAGCGUGUAUACAUUCCAGAAAUAUAUAAUGUAAAAAGUGCCAAAAUAUUGUCAGCAUAGCUGAGUGCAAAAAGUAGCAUUUACGAAUUAUUUGAUGUUGAAAAAAAUUGAACGAUGAAUUUCUGCAAGACAAAGCUCGGAAUGGAUUGAUAUAGCAUUUUUUCAAGUCUCAUCUGAGUAAGGGCUCAGAUUCACCUGUCCUCGUUCGCUGUACAGAUUUGAGCAGUGUAUUUGCAUCGUACUAAAUCUAGAUUUAAGUAGUGCUACUUUAUGAUGAAUUACAUACAUUGUGAAUCCUUUUUUAGAAUUGUUUUAAUAAAAAUAGCCACCAUAAUACUCAGUGAAAUUGAGUUAUUACCACAGGGUUUUAAAAAUAGGUAAAUAAAUAAAUUUCAGCGGACCUAGUGGCAUAGUCACUUUGUUUCAAAAAAAAUUAGCUAAUUGUAGCCACUAGGAAAAAGAAGAAAGAAUUGUUACACAGGUGUAUACAUAAUGAUUUAAUGUUUUAUUGCUUUCAUCAUUUUGAGUUUAAAUCAAUGAUUACUACCGAAAUACUUUAUCGCUAUUUGAAGCUAAUUACAUCAGUGUUUUUCUUCAAUAUUUCAUGAAACGAAAUUUGUACAACAAAUUAUUCACUUAACUUAUAACAACGUUUUCAAUAUCUUACAAGUACAUAUGCCGAAUCUUUUCUUCAUGUACGAAAUAAUGAGCUACAUUCAUUUAUCAUGGCAAACAAUAAUUUAUUCAAUGGUAAAUUUUUUUUUUUUUACCAACUAUAUAAUUUCUAAUAACUUAAAACAAUAGUCGUAUAUUGUCGUUUUCUUCUUUUACACAAAACGUGAACACGCGUAAUUGUUAUUUUUUCUCUUUUCUAUUUUGCAGCUUCACUUUUGCCAACAGUCCACAGAUUCUUCACAGUUUUCCCCAAACCCGGACCAUUAUAAAUUAGCAAAAGCAGACCAGCUAGUG
rnacentral:misc_RNA from 1 species